AUUGAACGCUGGCGGCGUGCCUAACACAUGCAAGUCGAGCGGAACGGCGGACGGGUGAGGAAUGCCUAGGCAUCUGCCUGGUAGUCGUCGAUAGCGUCCGGAAGCGGGCGCUAAUUCCUCAUACUAUCAGUUUAGUCUAGCUCGGAGUAGCUAGGUGGUGGGUUAAAGGCCUACUAAGGCGACGAUCCGUAACUGGUCUGAGAGGAUGAUCAGCCACACUGGAACUGGGACACGCUCCAGACUCCUACGGGAGGCAGCAGGGGGGAAUCUUGGACAAUGGGCGAAAGCCUGCUGCAGCCAGGCCGCUGGUGGGAAGCAGGUCUUCGGUUUGUAAAGUCCUUUAAGUUGGGAGGCGUUACCGACAGAAUAAGCACCGGCUAACUUCGUGCCAGCAGCCGCGGUAAUAC
rnacentral:rRNA from 1 species